ACUGGCGCCCUCCCGUUGCUGCUGCAACAACAAAGUAGUUAGACACGGUUUUCGGGGUGGUGGCGGUUUGCUCGAGUGAUCCAGGAGGCGUCGGGGAAGGUGAUCUCUCGCGCACGUGACGGUGACGUGAGUACGUCGGUACGAACCGUGAACCGAGCGUAUCGUCGCGCCAAGACAUCCCUCUAAGGGUGAAGGAUGAUGGUGAACGGACCGAUGACGAGUGAAACCCGCUAGCAAACGCGACAAACUGGCCUCGGCGCGGCACUCACGACGCGCGCGCGGGAUAAUUGGAUAUCGGAGCCGUCUUAAGAAUAACCCUGGAGCGCAAGACUGAACACGAUGGUGCACGUUGCAACCGCACGUUGACAGACUUGCAAUCGAAGUCGCAACCCUCGGGAUCGCGGGGGUGUGUGAGCCUCCUUUUCAUUCUGCGUCUUACAUGCGGUUUACCUGAUUCCGCGCGCUCGUUUUGUCUUCUAUUCAUCGUCGCGAUUAAGCGUUUAGAAGUUUCAGCCGAUUCGUGAGAGAUAAUUAUGCUUCACAAAGGAUAAUCGCCUUAUUAAAGUGGCGGUCGAUUAUCACACGGCUGCGUCGAAGGAGGUCAGCAGGGUACUCGAAUGGGAACGCGGACGGUUUUUAUCCAUUGGCGAUCCGAUAUGGUGCGAUGCCAUUGUGACGUGAUAAUUGAAAAUUGGCGUUCGAGCAGCAUUUUACGUUGUCACGACAUCAUCGGUUUUCGAUAGCGGACAGUUAGCCGCUGAGUGACGCUCUUUUCUACCGUCUCUUCGACCGGAAUCGAGGAUAUUAACCCCUCGCCUUCGUCAUACAUCCGUUUAAUCUAAUUGUAGCUCACGGUUGAGAGAAACGCGACGAUUACUUGAUCAUGAUACCAUAAAAAUUUCGACAUGUCAAGCAAAUCGUCAUGCUGUUAAAAAAUUAAAUUAAAGAUUGCAUAAUCGCGACGCUGACAAUUUAAAAAAAAUUAGAUUAUCGACACUAAUUACACGUAAAUAAUUAUGUACACGCGUAUAUUUGCUAAAAUCAUCAAAGAGAGUUUAAGGAAUAUCAAAAAAUAUUGCUGAGGAUACAUAUAAAAAUCAUACAGAUGACAAUGACAUAUACAAGACAAAUUACUGACUCUCGCCUUCCAUCGCUAAUCUGCGAGCGAGCCGGACUUGCAUGAUCGCUCAGGACAGUGGUCUCUUUAUUGAGUUUCCGAGUAGCGGACGAAUGAUAUCGCGAUAAAGGCAUGACUAUCCCGGUGGAGAGGACAGUCAUUAAUGCGAGACACUUUCUAUCCGCUGCGCGAGCGCAGCGGCCGAUAAGCAGCUGGACACAGCGAGCUACUAUUCCGGGACUCCGAGACCUCGUUACGUUACGCAUGAACAUGUUUACACAUGCAAGCCGCGAUUUGUUACGGACGAUGAUCUCUGACCGCGCGUUGAGCGAUUAUGGAACUAUCAAAACGCAAGGUUCGAGUUCUGUUCGACCGAUUGGAUAAUCAUCGGAUGAUUGGAUUGCGAGUUAUUAGAGCGCGUGAUCGCAGUUUCCUCGAAAGCAAUCGACUUUGUAGAAUAAACAGUUCUCCGCGAGAAACGAGCGAUAAUUUUAAACAAUUAAUUUUAAUUAACGCGGAGACUUCGGCGCGCGUGCAAUCGCCGAUUCUGAAAUAUAGCACAUCCAGAGAAGCGGAUCGCAAUCGUGGAUUAAUCGCGACUCGCGCGGAGAAUCGACAACUGCGAAGUUGCGAGAAAGGGUGAAGAACGCGAGAGAGUCGACGAACGUGCAAAUGAAAUUAUGAUGAGGAAGCCUCUUGCACGGCUCGCACGUGACCCAACAACAACGUGCGAUAAUGCGGCGCAGCAACGUACGCGGUCGGUUUUAUUAUCGCUUCAGUAGCGUGAGAUCAUGUUUAUAAAAGCAGGAUUCCGGCGAUGGAGAAUCAUCACGUUCUAAAAUUAAGUAUGUCGCCAUCCGUAAAAAUGGCGAUCCAACAUCGGAUCCAUUUCGAUCGGGAUCGCGAAAACAGCGCGUUAUCGCAACAUCUCCCUCUUAUAGAUCAAUUGGUAAAUCUUGAAAUUAAAAUAUCGAUGUUUAAGAUAUUUCAGACGAGAAAGUAAGAUAAGGCGCUUUCGUACAGACGAGUGAUACUGCUUGAGAAAUCGCGUGCGCUGUUAUUGAAGUUGCUCAACGAGAGAUCUGCUUCUCGCAGAUUCUGCAAGUUACAUCGACGCGGAUCUCAUCAGAUUCGGCGGAUAUAACGCGAGCAUGAAGGGGGAGAGGGGAGGUGCGGUUUUAACGCGGCCUUGCGAUACGACGUAAUAAUUCGUUCCGACGCGACGACGAAUGGAACGCAGCUGGAAAACGCGCGGAAUGAGCGCGGGAGAGCGAGCUUAAUUGCGCCAUCAUUAAAGAGACGGCUAAAUGGCGGCGUUUGUUGGCGUUUUCAAGGCGGCGCGGCGGUGGCGGCGAAAUAAAAAGGGGCAAAAGAAAAAUCAAGAAAAUAAUUGGACUUCACAAAGAAAGAGGAAUCAAAGAAUACCGUUGCUUCUUUCGCACAACACAACAACAAAGAGAAGUAAAAAGUCCGAGGGGGGCAGCAAGAAUCCCGCGAUUAGAGGUCCGAACGUGACGUUGAACCCGACCGCCUUGUACGCGACUUCCGGACUCGAACUCGGUAUGGAAUAAAAUUAAUAAAACUUCGAACGGCUCUCUUUUUGUCUCUCUUACUCUACACCUACACGUGCAAGGUGUAUAUUUAACUGUGGCAUGCGGGAACGCACGAAAUGUUAAAUCACCAUAAAACAUACGUCUUUUCUAUUAACUGACAUAAAAAACUGGAUAAUUCAAAAUUCUGAAGAAAAAAAGAAAAAAAAUCAAGUCAUAAAAUCAUGUCAAAUUUAAUCUCUUGUAACGAGCAACAAUGAGAAUUGUUUCUGUACGAUGAUCCGAUUCGAUGAAGAAACCAUUCAACGACCAAGCAAAAA